ensembl:snRNA U6 U6 spliceosomal RNA
GUGCUUGCUUCGGCAACACAUAUACCAAAAUUGGAACGGUACAGAGAUUAGCAUGGCCCCUGCAAGUAAGGAUGGCAUGCAAAUUCGUGAAGCGUUCCAUAUUUUG